AGAGUUUGAUUAUGGCUCAGGACGAACGCUGGCGGCGUGCCUAACACAUGCAAGUCGAACGGAGCUGCUUUGAUUGAUUCCUUCGGGAUGAUUUUGAUUCAGCUUAGUGGCGGACGGGUGAGUAACGCGUGAGCAACCUGCCUUUCAGUGGGGGACAACAGUUAGAAAUGACUGCUAAUACCGCAUAAUAUCCUUUUGGGGCAUCCCUUUUGGAUCAAAGAUUUAUUGCUGAAAGAUGGGCUCGCGUCUGAUUAGCUAGUUGGUGGGGUAACGGCCCACCAAGGCGACGAUCAGUAGCCGGACUGAGAGGUUGAACGGCCACAUUGGGACUGAGAUACGGCCCAG
rnacentral:rRNA from 1 species